CAAAGAGUAGUUUAGCUUAGAAUUCUAGCUUUGGGAGCUAGAGGUGGGAGUUAAAAUCUCCCCUCUUUGA
rnacentral:tRNA from 1 species